rnacentral:sRNA from 1 species
UGUAUCUGAAGCCUGACGAGGAUGAGAACCUCCGGGGGCAAGAGGUUCGACCCGAGCGAAGCGAGAGAACGUUGCGUCAGCAACGGCC